rnacentral:lncRNA from 1 species
GACCUCAUAUCCAAGGUUCUACGGCUAUGUGCAGUUGGUUGUAGAGGUCUGAAUUUUUUUUCAUUUUCUAAAAAAUAUCCAUGAUUCUAGCUUUCUAGGUUCAUAAUCCCUUUUCCCAUUCCCAAUCUACGUUAAGAAACACAAGGCCCAAAUAUGGUGCUCUCAAAGGCCACGUACACAGAACACAACACUAUAUCUAAAGUCGGGCCCAGUGAGAAUGAUAGAAAAGCCCAUUUAGUUGUCUUUCUAGAAAAGAAAAAAGUCUACUUUUCUCUUUCAACUUUUACAAAAGUCCGCUUUUUCUCUCUUAACUUCAAAUCCGGGCAAACCACCCCCUCAACUUUUCAAACCCUACAUUUUACUUCCCUAGAGUGGUUUUGAAGGCGGUUUUGCUAUAGUGAAUGGUGGUUUUGCUACAAUGCUGGUGGUUUUAUUUUUUCUUUUUUAAUUAUAUUGGCUAAAUCUUUAAAAAUCACAGUAAAUCAUAGAAAAAAAAUCAUAAAUAGAAAAUUCUAAUUUUAUUAGACUCCACAUGAGUUUACACAGUGAAUAUAUAAUACGGUAUGUUUUAGUACAAAAUUUUUGCUAUGAAGGUUUUAUCUUUUUCUUUUUUUUAUUUAUUUGGCUAAACCUUUGAAAAAUUAUAGUAAAUUACAGAAAAAUCAUAAACUAGAAUAGAAAAUCUAAUUUUGUUGAACUUCACAUGAGUAGAUAUAUACAAUGGACAUAUAAUCUUAUAUGCUUUAGUCCAACAAAUAAUAAUAGAAGCUACAACUACGAAUUCUUUCAAUUACUUGUAGAAAAGCAUAGAUCUAAAGCUACAAUAAAAAAUUAUACUAAUAUUAUUUAUUCGUUGUGUAGACAUACUCAUGUAGAGUCUAACAAAUUUAUUUAUUUUUUAUUUUUUUGUGAUUUACUAUAAUUUUUCAAAGAUUUAGCCGAAAUAAAUAAAAAAAAGACAAAACCUCCUCACUAUAGCAAAACCACAGUUCAGUAGCAAAACCGUAUUCAAAACCGCUCCAGAGAGGUAAAAUGCAUAGUUUAAAAAGUUGAGAAAAAUGAUUUGUCAAGUUUUGGUAUUGAGAGAGGAAAAGUGGAGUAUCGUAAAAGUUAGAAGAGGAAAAGUAGAUUUUUUUCUCUGAAAAAAUAGAAAAUCAGCGAGACAGCUGUGGGCUGCCGCGCCUCGUCGGUGGA